rnacentral:rRNA from 1 species
UGGGGAAUUUUCCGCAAUGGGCGCAAGCCUGACGGAGCAAUACCGCGUGAGGGAGGAAGGCUUUUGGGUUGUAAACCUCUUUUCUCAAGGAAGAAGCACUGACGGUACUUGAGGAAUCAGCAUCGGCUAACUCCGUGCCAGCAGCCGCGGUAAUACGGAGGGUGCGAGCGUUGUCCGGAUUUAUUGGGUUUAAAGGGUGCGUAGGCGGUUAUUUAAGUCAGUGGUGAAAACCCUGAGCUCAACUGAGGGCUUGCCAUUGAUACUGAAUAACUUGAUUACCGUAUAGGUAGGCGGAAUUUAUGGUGUAGCGGUGAAAUGCAUAGAUACCAUAAAGAACACCGAUAGCGAAGGCAGCUUACUGGACGGCGAAUGACGCUGAUGCACGAAAGCGUGGGUAGCGAACGGGAUUAGAUACCCCCGUAGUCC